rnacentral:tRNA from 1 species
GGAAGGAUGUCAGAGUGGUCGAAUGAGCCCGCUUGGAAAGCGUGUGUACCUUAGGGUACCGAGGGUUCGAAUCCCUCUCCUUCCA